UGAACGCUGGCGGCGUGCUUAACACAUGCAAGUCGAGCGAAGCGCUCUGGAAGAUUCCUUCGGGAUGAUUCCUAGUGACUUAGCGGCGGACGGGUGAGUAACGCGUGGGCAACCUGCCUUGUACAGGGGGAUAACAGUUAGAAAUGACUGCUAAUACCGCAUAAGCACACAGCAUGGCAUCAUGCAGUGCGAAAAACUCCGGUGGUACAAGAUGGGCCCGCGUUGGAUUAGCUUGUUGGUGGGGUAACGGCCCACCAAGGCGACGAUCCAUAGCCGGACUGAGAGGUCGAACGGCCACAUUGGGACUGAGACACGGCCCAGACUCCUACGGGAGGCAGCAGUGGGGAAUAUUGCACAAUGGAGGAAACUCUGAUGCAGCCGACGCCGCGUGAGUGAUGAAGUAUUUCGGUAUGUAAAGCUCUAUCAGCAGGGAAGAAGACGACGGUACCUGACUAAGAAGCCCCGGCUAACUACGUGCCAGCAGCCGC
rnacentral:rRNA from 1 species